GUGGGGAAUUUUGGACAAUGGGCGCAAGCCUGAUCCAGCAAUGCCGCGUGUGUGAAGAAGGCCUUCGGGUUGUAAAGCACUUUUGGCAGGAAAGAAAUAGUGCGUGCUAAUACCAUGCGCGAAUGACGGUACCUGCAGAAUAAGCACCGGCUAACUACGUGCCAGCAGCCGCGGUAAGACGUAGGGUGCAAGCGUUAAUCGGAAUUACUGGGCGUAAAGCGUGCGCAGGCGGUUUUGUAAGACAGGUGUGAAAUCCCCGGGCUCAACCUGGGAACUGCACUUGUGACUGCAAGGCUAGAGUGUGUCAGAGGGAGGUGGAAUUCCGCGUGUAGCAGUGAAAGGCGUAGAGAUGCGGAGGAACACCGAUGGCGAAGGCAGCCUCCUGGGAUAACACUGACGCUCAGGCACGAAAGCGUGGGGAGCAAACAGGAUUAGAAACCCCUGUAGUCC
rnacentral:rRNA from 1 species